GUAAUUUCACCCACAAUUCUUAAGACUCCAUUCCAAACUCAUGUUUUGUUUCCCCAAUUUUACACCUCCUCUCCCAAAUCUGCCCCCAUACAAUGCACUCUUAAUGUUUCCUUCAAACAAAACCCCUGUAAAUUGAAGAACCAAAUGAAACGGUGGAACAAUUAAUCAUGCUAUUGAAUCAUUUGCCAUCUCUAUUUAUUUAGCGUUGUGAAGCGUCUCCGUCUGCAUCUCAUCCAGAAAGGGAAUGCCAGGUUUCUUUGACGUGAUUCUCAACUAUAUCGAAGGUAUUGCUAUUGCAUUUUGUUUUAAUUCGUCUGGUUAAUCGGUUGUAAUGUUGUUAUCAGUGUUGAUUUGUUUACAUUUUAAUAUCUAUUUUGUUAGAAAUCUGCAUUAAGAUUUUAGUUUUAUACCACUCUAUUAGUUGGAUGAUUAGGGCAUAAAUUUGGUACGUUAUGCCGCCUUUGGCGUUUACGGUUACCAGAAAAGCAUCGAAGAAUAUCCAUAUGAAUGAAUUUGGGGCUGGGUUUUGUGUGAUUUUUAGGGCUAAUAUGAAUGAAUUUGGGGCUGGGUUUUGUGUGAUUUUUAGGGCUAGGGUUCUUCAAGGAGAAUUUCACAUAGAGAUUAAGAUGGCAGCUGAAAGUUACUAUUAUUUGUAUCUAUCCAUAAAACACCAUUCAUCCUAGACUAGGGGUGGCAAAAUCAAACCAUACAUUCAACUUUGGGUUAGGAUGGGUAUUAUUUUUGUAGUAGAUGGGUUAAGUUGGGUUAACAAGAAUUGUUAAAUGGGUCAAGAUGGGUAACUUUAAAAAAUAAAAAAAUUAACAUGUGGGUUAGGAUAAAGUCUAAAACUGCACAUUCUUCUUUUUCUCAUCUCCCACGCCCAAAUCACCACCAGCCUACAACCUCCAUUCCACCGCUUUUGCUCCGACCAUCGCCGCCAGCCCUGAAGAAACCCUAAUCAAGGAUCAUGAACGGGCUUAUUUUGAUUCAGCUGAUUGGGCUCUGGGAAAGCAAGGUGUAGACAAGCCCAGAGGACCUCUUGAGGCACUUCGGCCUAAACUACAGCCAACUCAGCAGCAAACACGAUAUAGGAAAUCACUUUGCGCCCCAAAUGAUGGACAAGGCGAUCAAUGAUUAAAUGCCUAACAGAGAUGAGUUAUUGAUGCUGUUGGAUAUUAUGUCCGGUUCGAUAAGUCAACGCUGCCGACCGGGUCUUGACCCGUAAGAGUUACACCUUGGGCAACGAACUAAAAUCCACUUAACCAGUUUAACUGGUAAUUACAAACAACAUACGAGACAGAUCAUAAUUAUCUAUGAUUAUAAGCGGGUAUUAACGGAGAGACGGGUACAUGGACCGGGUGACACAUGUAUUCUCACCCACCGACACUUGUCACUUGCCACCCUUUUUGGCCAAUAGAAAUACAUGCAACUUGCCACCCUUUUUGGCCAAUAGAAUUACAUGCAAUUUUGCAUGAUUGACACUUGGCUAACAUACAUGAAUGUCCAUGUUCUAUAUAAGUGGGUCUUGUAUUUUGUGGAAAGAGAUGAGAUGAGAAAAGGGUAGCAACAAGAUAAAACUCUCUCAACACCCACAACCGGCCACAACCGCCGCCACCGUCGGCUAGCCCUCCGCCGCCGACCCACCCUGCUGCCGCCGCUCUCCGGUGGUCGCCGCCGCCUGCACCGCCGACCGCCACAGCCGAGACCCGACUCACACUCGCGUUUCUCUCGUUCGUGUAACUAGCACUUGUUCGUUGAACCUCGGUGUCUCAACUGGUUAGUCAUUAACCGAGGCAAGGAUUCUGAGGAAAACAUUAGGGGCGGUACGAGACAGGUUGGCAUCUUAUGUGCUAAUGCACUUGUUGCUUUAGAAGAAAAUGUCCAAAACCUUGUGACCGAUCACAAAAAUGCCAAGACUUUAGCUGAAGGGCUAAAUAAAAUCAAGGGUCUGAGUAUGGAUCUAGCUUAUGUGGAGAGUGCAGACAAACAUUUAAGCAUGAUAUGGUUUAUUUUGAGAUAUCAAAGGGGUCACAUAUUACAACAGUGAAGUUAGGCAAAAUUUUGGAUGAGCAUGGAAUACUUUUGAUGCCUGAUAGCUCAUCGAGGUGUGAAUUAAUCUAUUAGGUGUUCAUAGUCAUGAACUUGUGGCAUUAGAUUUACUUAUCUUGAUGGUAUUGAUAAGUUCAUUACAGUUCUCUUGAUAAGUUUAAAAACACAGAAUGGAUUUUGUCCAUCUCCCAUGUACAAAAAAAGUAUUUUCCUUUAAAGUUUUAAGAUGGCAGAC